AAAAUAAAAUUUGAUUUUAAAAAAAUUUAAUUUUUAAACUAGGAUUAGAUACCCUAUUAUUUUAAGCUUAAUGUUGGUAGUAAGUAAAAUUUAUGAAAUCAUAAAAUUUUGGCGGUAUUUUAAGCUUGUUAGAGGAAUUUGCUCUAUAAUGGAUACAACGCCUUCAUCUUACUUAAUUUUGUAAUUAAAGUCAGUUUGUAUACCACUAUAUUUAAUUAUAUUGAAUAAUUAUAUUUAAGAUUUUUAUAUAAAUAUAUAUUAAGUCAAGGUGCAACAAAUAAUUA
rnacentral:rRNA from 1 species